rnacentral:rRNA from 1 species
AACGAACGCUGGCGGCGUGCCUAACACAUGCAAGUCGAACGAGAACUUCCGGUCUAUUGGCGCAGGGGUGCGUGAGGCGUGGGGACCUGCACUUAGGUUCGGAAUACCUCCCCGAGAGGGGUGCUAAUACCGGUUGGUGUCUUCGGACCAAGGAUUUAUCGCCUUUGGAUGGGCCCGCGUCGGUUUAGCCGGUUGGUAGUGUAAAAGCCUACCAAGGCGACGUUGCAUAGCUGGUCUGAGAGGAUGAUAAGCCACACUGGGACUAAGACACGGCCCAGACUCCUACGCGAGGGAGCAGUGGGGAAUAUUAGACAAUGGGCGAUAGUCUGAUCCAGCAAUGUCGGGGGAGAGAUGAAGGCGUUAGGGUUGUAAAGUUGUUUUACCCGGGAUGAUAAUGACAGUAACGGGUGAAGAAGCUCCGGCUAACUCCGUG